CUCCUACUUUUGCUAAAGGCAUAAAGGUAUCUUCAUCUCUCUUCUUCCUCCUCACUGAGCUGCAGGAGAAGAGGGGCUGUUGGUGGCAGCAAAAAUCCAGCAACACUGGCCCAGUAGAUGAAAAGCACUUGACAAAUGACUAUAGGAAGGAGCUGAGCCCAAAGGCCUGAGCGUGACUGUAAUGGGAUUUACUCCACUCGACUCCUGUCAGUCUCUCUGGAGGAAAGUCCACACUGGGCAGCCCUGGUCUGGGCUUGGGGUGAAUUACGGAGCAAGAAGAGCUGUUUUUUUGUAGCUUUUCUGCUGAAUCCAAAUGAGCUCCCUCUUCAUCUGGGGAGAUCACUGUGCAAAGAGGGUUCCUUUUUGAAUACAGCCAGGGAUCUUCCACCCAGACCCAAGGAAACAAUCAUGGUCUGUGUGCAGCUCUGGAUGUCACUGAGACGUGGCACAGCUUUCCCUAACCAUCUGGGCUGCUUUCUUUGGGCAUGGGAUGAGGGUGCCUGCUGUGGCUGUGGAGUUUCCAACGAGUGGAUGUCAAGAUCUGCUUUGCCUCUGAUGUGAAGUGCUGGCACGCAUACUGCUGUUCGUGGGGCUGUCUGUGCUCACCAUAAAUCGAAUCCCCAUGAGGUGGCCUUUGGUUCAGCUCAGCCAAGAGUCCUCUGACUGUGACAGCACUUCUCCUACAGCCUUUAAUAGCUUUUUAACUUUUUCAGUUAUAAUGGGCACCAUUAAAUCAUUUCCCAGUCAGCUCCGUACAGUGGUACCUGAGAAACCACCAUUAUUUCCUGUUGUAGAUAUAGGGAACAUCUGCACAUACAUCUGCAGGGUUACUAUCGGUAAGUGUUGAGUUCUUAAUGGGGAUGGUCAGACACAGCAGGGCACAAUGAUGUCCUGGAUGCUGGAGUGGCUGUGGUGGCCUUCGAAGCAAUGUAGGAGGAGCUGGCUGAGACAACAACUGAGAAUAAAAUAUGUAAAGACCAAAAUACUCGGUAGAGUCAGUAACGAGAGCUGGAGUUUUAUACCUUUGCGGGUUGGCUUGUAAAUCUGACUGUCUUGGAGUGGAAAUCAUAAGUGGGGGGAUGCUCCAGAGAAACAUGGCAUUGCAUUCGCAUGGGAACAAUCAGGCAUGGAGACCAGGGCUUCUUCCAGCCUUGGGAGCCCAGAAAUUUUGGAAAACGGUGGUGACCCUGGUGCAGAGACUAUGGGACAGGUACUCAUAUUGCAAGGAACAAGCAGCCUUCAAGAGUGUUGGUGUAGUGAUGGUGCAAGGGGGGAUGGGAAGGUUGAAUUAAUCUCUCUGUGUAGAAAGCCUGAUGAGAAACCAACCUCUGCUUCCUGAGGGCUUUUUGGGGUGGUCUGCCUGGAUCUCAAGGGCUUCCAGUCCAGGAGCACCAGCAAGAAGUAAGGGGGUGGUGGAUGGAUUGUUCUCUUUGUUCUAAAUGUUGUGUCUCUUUGUGGUGGAAACGUGAAAAGCCCCAAAGUCACUCCGGGCAUGCGUUCAAGAGAAGUUUCUGGGAGAGGACUCUUUCCAGUGAUGUAAAAAGCUGCAGUUUGCUCCAAACAUUAAGUAUUAUAAAUGUGGCUGAUGUAAUUCCAUUUCAAAAAGCCUUGGAGGCUUGCAAUAAUAAACAGAGCUUUUUAGUACCAGGUUAUUGAUGCAAAAUAGUUUAGCGAACUGAGUUGCUGAAGUGCAAAUGCCAUGUAUUAUUCAUUAGAUGCUUUCUUUCCACAAAUCACUGCUCUUCAUGGCAUAAUGUCCCCCGCUCCCGGUAGCAUCGCUCUUUGGGAAACUCUUUGGUGUGAGCCAAAACGUGGAGAUGCAGACCCAUCCAUCAGGGCAAGCAGUUGGCUGUGUUGUUGUCUUCCAAAUGGAGUUAAUAAUGGGCAAAGAGGUUUAAUUAAUGCUUCAGAGUAAUGCGUCUGUUUAUAAAGAAAUAAUGUACUAUAAAAUUAGGCAAUGCAUAGUGAAAUGUAUCUCUUAAUGGUGAGGCUGGCAUUUUAAGUGAUCAGUAAAUCACUUAAAUAUUAAGACCUCCUUGAACAGGAAUAAUAAAGCAAGAGAUUUGGAAAUGGGAGAUACCAAUACUUACAAUUAUCCACUAAAUAAAACAUUUUUAUAGUGAUCAUAGAGUUAAUCACCUUACAGAGCAGACAGGUGAUAGGGACAGUGGAAGAUAUGUGGCAUUAUUGCCUGCAGAAAAAGGGAUUUCAAAUGCAUUUUUAAGGCCAGCAUCAACAAGGAGAAAAUAUAAAUGUUUUCUGAACUCUUUAUCUAUUCUUUUGAUGAAUAAAUGCAAGCAGCCAUCGUUACAUAGAAGAGCUCAUGAUCAAAAAUAUGAUAGACUAAGAAUAUUCCCCAGACAGUGCUAACACAGUUUCAUGGCAGAACAGAGUGAUGAUCUAUGAAUGUUGUUUUCAAACUCCUGCUUUAAAUAUCUGAAAGUAUUAUCAAUUACCUCAGUAUUUUUAAAAGCAAGUUGGGCAAAAAUACAGAAUUACUACUUUACAACCUUAAUAGAAUGAGUUUUGCAGCACUUCUGUUCAAUGAUGGGAAGGAUACAGGAGGAGACUCCCAGGUCUCCAAUGCAAGAAGUUUUGGCAGAUUUCGAAGGUGAAAUGAGAUUUUAAUGAACUGAAUGAGAUCCAAAUGAUAGGGAUAAUUUUCAAGUUAAAUACACAGAAACUAAUGGUCUGUAGGAGAUACAAACUGUUUGCAUAAGAACCCACACAGAUUUUUGUCCCAAGCUGUGAAAUUAUCACAACAACUUCGAAGAACUGUGGAAAAGGAUCAUGGAAAGGAGUGUCCCAGAUGGUUGGAGACUCUUGAUAGGCAAUAUCCAAAUGGAUAGCAUGUGGAGAUGUGUGUGUCUUUGAGUAAGUGUCCCUCUUAUUGUCUAUGUGAAUCUGUGACUUCUGACCAGAGUGUGUCCCCUUUACCAGUGCAACUGCAGAAAUGGUCCACAGUGUCAUUCAAUUCAUGAAAAAGAGGUUUUUUUUUUUUUCUUAGAGUAUUAGGAUUUUCUCACUUAAAAAAAGGCAGCAGCAGGCACCUCAAAUAUUUUUUUUAAUUAAUUCAAGCACAGAAAAUAAGGAAAUAUACUUGUAUAAGAUACUCUUUGUCAACGGAAGUGAUUGCUGAAUUUGUUGAGUGGAGAGUUAGCUCUUUGUUAAGAAUUCAGAGAUGUCUCUGAAGAUGAGAAGUAGAUGGUCCAAUCGCACAUGCUGCUUUCAUCACUUGGUAUUUUAUCAUUUCUCUAUGUGAAAAAAUAAGCAGAAUGUCUAAGCAACUUUAUGUAAAGAGAAGGAAAAGAUGAUGUGAUGGAUCCCAUCUUUGGGUGCUGGGCUGCUGAUUUCCAGAUCUGCCUAAGGUUUUGGAUUUAAAACCAAACCAAAACCAAUCAAACAAAAAUGAGAGAGAGAGAAGAAAAUGAAAAAGGAACAGAUGAUCAAGAAUGCAGAAAACUCAGCCCAGGCAUCCUGGCUGGUCUCUGAAAUGCAUUGAAACAACAUAUCUUCUGGAAUAUCUUUCAUAUUUUGUGCUUAAGUGUUUAAUGUUGGAAUCAAUACAGAAACGGUUUAGUAGCAGCUGUGUUUAGUUGCCAAGUCUUAACUUGAUCUACUUUUAUGGGACAAAAAUUAUUUUGAAAUUAAUUUCCUCCCUCAGUUAGCACUUGGAAAUGUUUCUAAAAUGAAGAAAAAUGUAGCUUCAAAAGGCCUUUUGUGAGAAGUAUGCUUGAACAUUAAGAAUUUCACAAUAAACAACAGUUUUCCUAAAAGAUUUUCGAGAAUAACUAUUUUGCGCUUCUUGGGACUGAGCCUUGUGCCUAUUGCAGCGCUGCUGGGCCCAUGAAACCCACGAGUUUUGAGAUGAACUGGCACGUAUUUCAUCCCAGAUUCUCUUCAUGGCAGAUUAAGCCAAGUUAAAAUAGCAACUGACCCUUAGAAGCUGUGGAAAAGACGCUUCAGAUCAGAAGAAGUAAUUUAUUCUGAUUAGUGCUGACUGCUUGUCAAACACCAGCCUAACUAUUCCCCAUCUUCUGCCCCACAAGGUCAGAGAGCUUGACCUAAACUCCUCCUGGAUUCAUCUUAGAUAACAGAGAGGGAUGAAGAGCCGUUCGUAGGAACGGGGACUCGAAGAAGUUCUAUUUCAUGGUCACUUGGGUAAUUUGCAGCUGGAUUUCUUCUUGACCUUUCUGCCCUGUGUUGUUAACAGCAAAGAGGUCUUGUCUCCCCCGAUCAUUUUAAUCUGAAGAAAGCUGCCAGGUAGUGUUGAAAACACAUUGGGCUCUAUUUUCUGUGCAAACAAACCAAAUUUGUGAUGAAUAUUUAGCAUCCUCGACCUUUUGAUCUUGAUCAUUAGAAAAGCGAGUGGUGGGAGCUGCGUCCUCCAUGGAGAGGAACACCUCGGGGUCGGCAUCUUCUUACCGUGAAUGGAUGCACCAAGAGGACGCUCCUUGGCGCCUAUACAGCACGUCAGGUGUAUUUAUAUUUUUAAAUAUCAAUUUUUCUCCCUUCAGGAGGACAAACUUCCCCUGGACAGGUACAAGUGGAUGGAGAAGCUGCUAGGGCCCGGCCAACCCCUGCCAAAGCCUCUGCAAACCUUCUUAGGACACACUGAUACCAAAAUGACAAAUUCCUGGGAGGACACUUAGCAGGGGAAGAACAUGUUCACCUUUCAAUUAUCAAAGUUGCAAUUUUUAUUGAGGUCCGAGAGCAGGAAUCCUGCCCUUCCCAACCUCUCCUGCACCCAGGGAGGGAAUCCUGAUUGAACUAUGACCAGGAGAACUUCGUGGGGCAGAGAUCAGGUGUAUUAAUGGCAACGUGAUCAGCUGGCAUUUAAUUUACACUUGGAUAGCAAGCAGAAAACUAGUUUCCAAGAAAUUUUGCUGCUUCAAAUAUUUGCCUUCUGAAAUGAAAGGGAGUAAAAGUUACAUUUUGCGAUACAAAUUCCAGAAACUCAUUUGCUUUAGAAGGACCGAACAGCUUUAUUUCAAAGUGAUUUUUGUUUUUUCCUUAGGAAAUGCAGUUAAUUUAAAAAAAAUUGUUCAUAGGAGAAAUUGAAUAAUUUUGGAAAUGAUGGAAUAGGGUAUGUCAAUGUCAUUGAAGUGCUUUGCCUAAAUAAAAUAUUACUGACAUUAGUGAGGUUUUGAAAAUAUUAAGACUUGGUUGAAAAUGCUCACUGUUUGUCCUAGCACUUUGAAAAAUUUCCAGGCAGACCUAAUUCAAAUUAUAAGUGUAUUUUUUCCUGAUUUCUUUUCAUUAGUGUCUCAAUCCUUUAAUUGCAGUUGAAGGGAGUGUAUAAAGUGGUCCAUUUUGCAUUAAAAUAGUCCACAAUAUGUGAUUUCCUCAUCUGUGUUAUGGAUGUUGAU